ensembl:lncRNA
UUUUAAUCUGUAUUUUGAAAAAGUCAAAGGUAAAUAUCCGGUCACGCACUGUGACUUAAAAAAGGACGAUGGUUGGCGUUCCUACACCGGCCACCUGGAAUGGAGCUCGGAUGUGUUACGGCGUCGAUUGAUGACACUGAAAGAUGUUCAAGUCAGGUGCACCUGGAAUAUGAAGACCCCAAAAUAAAUAAAUAAAUAAAAACCCCGCAAAGCUUCUACUGCAAUAGAGUGAAGCCCGAGACCUGGCAGGUGCCCGCUGGUUUUUAGGGCGUACACCUGCACUUUGUUCGCUCACUUGAAUUUGAUCUGCCUUUUUUUUUUUUUUUUUUUAAAAAGCAGGUCUGACUGGUUUUACGGCGCGCUCCACAUUUUUAAAUCCCUGCUUUACUAACACAACAGAUAGAGCGAGUGGGUUAGACACCUUGUUUUUUUUGUUGUUGUUUUUUUUUUUUUUUUUUUUAAAUUAGCAUUACAUUGGAUUAAGUUGACAUUGUUGCACAGGGUCCUGGUUCAUAUAAAAAUCCAGGACAUCUGUUUAUUUGCCCUAACCACAGAGUUAAUGCUAAACACAACAGCGGUGCAGGAGGAGUGCGAUGUCUGCGGCCCUGCUGACGCGCUGUCUUCCCGCUGACCCGUGCUGUAGCGCAUCUGAAAGCCGGAUUCCCAACAGAUGUCUCGCACGCUAUUAUUGCACCUACUUUAUCUGGCAUCGUCUUACAGAUGACACCAUCUCUUCUACACCUAGCAGAGAAUGCCUGUUUCUAAUACACUUCCCAGUCACACAGAGGAUUAUUUCUGCUUCUUCUUCUUCUUCCAUUUAUUUGUGCACAGUGGUGAUGUUGGGGUUUGGCAGUGUUCUUGCACUCACACAUUCGCACUCGCUCUAGAUGGGAUGGUUUCUGUUUUGGGCUCUGAAAUGUAGUGAAUUGAGGCAGACGAGCCGAGAGCUGCUAGUUUCUGAUUCGUUCUCACCUGCCUCCGACACUGGAGAUUGUUCAUCAUUAUUUAUGGCGCAGAUAUGACUCUUUUUUUUUUUUUUACCCUUAGGGUUUUGUCAGCAUGUUGUUUUUCGUCUCUGUCUCCCUCAGCAGGGUGAAUACGCGGAGUUUAUUUAGCUCCUGUCAAUCUACACGGUCUCUUUGUUGCCUUCUUAUCCUGUUAUUUUCCAUCUGACAGCAUAAGUAUUGUUUAUACGAAGCGAAUAUUUGGAUGGCGUGCUUUAUGAUAUUUACAAUUCGGUCUGAUUUUGAUUUCAGGGUGCCAUGUCGAGGUUUACCAAAAACGGUUUUUCGUGCAUCACUGAUCAUUUCCCGGCAUUCUGAGAAACACGAGCCCUGAUUAGAGCCGUCGUUUGCGUGUCGGUUAUUUUGUGAGAGUAAUUGGACUAUAAAAUGACUCUUAACCCGUCGUUUCAUUUCCCUCAUGUUCCUUUUUAAGCAUUUUCUGAAUGACGUUCGUUGUUCUUCGUCGGCACUGUUGUGUCCGCUAUGUAAACAUCAACAGACUAAACAUGACGUAUGUUGUAUUUAUUGUGUAUUUUAUAUAGUUAAAAUAUGUUUUUUUUUUUUUUUUUUUUGCCAUAGUGCCAACGCCCUCUUCGAGUCACGUGCAUCGAACAUGAGUACAGCUAAAAGGUCUCAUUUUACGAACAACCAUCACUGUGAAAAACAGUGGGGAAAUGUCAGUGGAACAAAACUAUUUCCUAGAAUUGCGAUUUUCACCAAUUCAAGUAGUUUUCUGCAAAAAAAAAAAAAAACGCUAAUUGCGUUGCUGCGGACAAAAAAAAUACUGUUUGCAAUCACAAAAAAAAAACCCUCUACAAAAUCCUGUAUGGACUGAUGCGUACAUGGUGUCCCAAAAGUCUCCAUACGUAGAGGACCAUGUACGCCAGCACCACGUCAGUGGAUGUCCGUGGACGUCCACGUCUCGUUUAGUCCGCAACACUUCCUGUCUUUUUCAAUUUGUUAAUGAGUAUGGCAACAGUGUCUCGUGUGUGUGUGUGAUGUGCUUGAUAUCGAUAAGUAUGAUAUUUUUUUUCGAAGACGACAUCUUAAAAAGUGCUCAUUUCCCCAAAUGUAUGGAGUGGAGACUUUGGGGACUCACAGGUUUUUGUUUCACGUGUUUAAAAAGUAGCAUUACUGUCUUAGGGUCCGCACUUGUAUAGCGCACUUUUUUUGGGGGGGGGGGUGUAACCUCAGCGGGUCUACAAAGUGCACUACACUGUUUCUCAUUCACACACACACACACACUCGCACAGCAAUGGCUGCAGAGCUGCCACGCAAGGCGCUAGCUUGCCAUGGGGAGCAACUUGGGGUUCAGUGUCUUACCCAAGGAUACUUCGGUGUGUAUGGAGUCACGUGGGCCGGGAAUCAAACCGCCAACCCUACGAUUAGUGGACACUAAUCUAAGCGCUGUACCACCUGAGCCACAGACGACCAAUUUUGCGGUUAAUUUGACACACAUCACGUAUCUGAGAAAUGUCUUCAACCCACUCCUAGUGUGCAUGUAUAUACGUAUGUGUUUGUAUGUAUUUGUGUGCGUGUGUGUGCGCCAGAGACUCUCACCUCCUUUCCUUAAUUCUCAUCAUCCCCCCGUCUUCUUUCUUGUCUAGUGUCUUACAUGUUCUCAACACUGACAAUUCCCUCCAUUGAGACCUCACGAUGACGCUCACUCAUGGUUAGCGCCACCACCAAUCUUUCUAGGUGUUUUUCCGAGCUUCUAGCAGGGUCACGUUAGUGGAGAUCACUCUGCUCAGAUCGUACACCUCUUAAUCUGUGAGGGUUUCUGUGAUCGUACUUUUAAUUGGAGGCACCCAGGUUCUGAUGGGUUUAAAACUAGACGUGGGCUACAAUUUAUUCAUUCUCUCCUGUACAUGCUUUCUCGCCUGCCUCUAUUUAUGUUCAUACCCUUAUUUGGUUAUCCAAAUACCCUUAAUCUUCUGCAGUCCUUUUUCCCUAUAAAAAAAAAGACCUGUUGAAUAGCUUGAGUAUGAGAGAAGUGUCUCGUUAAAAAUGUUUGCUUUUUUAUUUAUUUAAUUUUUAUAUCUCCAUCGCCGUAGAAGCCCUGGUGAGAGCAAGGAGAAUAAAAUCCAGCCUCACAGCCAUGCUCAGGCAAAGAACAGCUUGGUCUCGCUUCACCUAAAACAUAUAUAAACGCAGUCUUCCUGUCUGAUGUUUAAAUUCCUCACGUAGUCUUUAAGUGAAGGCCAUCUCAUGCCGGCUUUAAAUCUCUCCUGUUAAACACAGAGACAGAGGUCUCUUAAGUACCACCAUGAUUUUUUAAUGAAGUGGUAAUGGCACAAGCCUUGAUCCCCGCUGGUCUGUACGCGGCAGCAGGAAAGUGGAAGGCAAGUGACUCCGAGACUUCUUCACCAUGACCUUCAGAAUAGCAGCCCACAAUGGCUGCGUGCUGGGCACAAUUAAAGGCUAGCAGAGGAAGAAAUGAACUCUGGAGGGUGUGUCAGACUUAAGUCUAGGAUUUGUGACCCUGCUGGUUGUUCAUAGCUGAGUGAUUGAUGGUUUGGUACUCUCUUACAUUAAAAAAACAAAACGGUUUUAUAUGAGACCUGAGCCUAAACUAGAAGAUUUGGGCCUUGGUAGUAGCCUGGGUGCUCGGGUUAAAUAGCUUUAUCUUGGCAUGUUUUGUAGUUUCGUAGUUGCCUGGUGGAGUGGUAGGUUCAGCAACCAAAGAAAGACAUAAAAAAAACAAACAAACCUUUGCAUCUUUAAACUUCAUGGUGGUGUGGUGCAAUGCAACUUGUUUCAUGCGGUGGUAGCUCAGUGGUUAAGUUGUUGGGACUACUGCUCAGAAGGUCGCGAGUUCAAACCUCUGAAACGCCAAGACGCCAUUGUUGGGCCCUUGAGCAAGGCCCCUUAUCCCUCAACUGCUCAGGUCUUUACUGCAGCGGUCUUCAGUUGCUGCUCGUUUGUUGGUCUUUCUGCCUUCCGUUUUGUCUUCAGGAAGUGAAAAGCAUGCUCAAUAGGGUCAGGGUCAUCAGACAUUUACGAACAAUUUUAAUUUCUUUGCCUUAAGAAGCUCUAGGGUUGCUUUCGUGGGUCAUUAUCCAUCUGUACUGUGAAGCGCCGUCCUAUCGGUUUUGGAGCAUUUAACCGAAUCUGAGAACCCAUAGUUCUGUACGCUUCAGAAUUCGUCCUGCUAGUUCUAUCAGCAGUCGCGUCAUCAAUCAACACCAAUGGAUCAGUUUUUUUUUUGUUUAAAAGCAAAUUGUUGAUUUGGCCCCUGCUAAAGAUUCUGCUAUGUCUCUGCUAGGUCUGUUUUUUGUUUUUUCAGCCUAAUGUUGGCCUCCUUCACUUGCAUCGACACCUCCCUUAUUGAGAAUUCCCAUGAACCACAUGCUACCACAUGCGAAUUCAACGAUCGGCAUCAACUACAGACCUUUUUAAUCUCCUCAAUUUGUCAUGAUAUAGUGAGGAAACGGGCCACACCUGGCCACGAAACCGCUCAUCGGUCAAUUGUCCACUUACGUUUGAGCCCGUGGAAAUGAUAGGGACUCCGUGGCUGUGAUUCCCGAACGGUUCAUGUAAUAUUUUUGUUCAACCCCUUGAAUUAAAGUUGAAAGUCUACACUCCAAUCACGCCAAUCUUGAUUGAUUCAUUUUCAAAUUCUCCGUGGUGGCGUACAGAGGCAAAGGUACAAAAAUGGUGUCAUUUUGUACUGUUGAACACUGUGUAAGGCCGGAAGGGGAAAGCUUCAGUAUAUGGGGAAAAACUGUGGGCGGGUCUUUGGCCGUAUUUCUUUUAAACUGGCGUGUGGCAUGUACGUUUAAUUCGAACCUGACAUUUUGAAACUGACAGCUCAGACUGUGAUUUAUUCUGAAUUACUAGUGCAGGAUUCCCAGAGUGACGUGCACCAGCUCGGAGUGGGAACGCAGUAUUUUCCCCCUGACUCAAUAAUGACCCCUCCCCUCCCCUCCAAAAAAAAAAAAAAAAAAAUCCUUCAUGGACUGUAGCUUUAAAUCCGAUUCGAAGAAGUGAAUGAUGCAGCAUCACAUCUGGUUUUAGCUAUUACAUCUGGAAUAUUGCCACAGUGCUGGGCAGUCCAAGGUAUGUGUGUGUGUAGAAAAGAGAGAAAUCGCAGAGCUGUUACUAAUUGAAGAGGUGAGUUUAUGUUAAAAGCUUGAAUUUCUUUCUGGUUAGAGUUCUCAUUCCUGUAAUAACGUCCUCUUUUGUACUCUGUGUCUAUGUGCACGUGUGUUUACGGGAUAACUUUAUUUAGCUACUACACUUUCAUUAUUUCACAGUAAUAUCCAAUGUAUGUUUUGCCUUGUUCAUUUAAUUCUGCAGAAAUUAAAAAAAGAGCCUAAUUACUUUUAGGUAGUCUGCAUGAUGAUGAUGAUGUUCUGGGGGCGUGUGUGCGUGUGUGGAGCAUGUGUGUUGGAACAAUUACUUAUAAGUCAAAGUCAUUUGAUUAAGAAAUUUAAAUUCCCUUGCAACAAUUGACCUUUUAUGAGUGACAGUACUGCAGAAACAUUGUAUCACGGCGACGAUGUGAUGAUAAAAUGAUCGUUAUACCGAAAUGUUCAGAAUUCACUUUUUUUUUUGAGUCAAUUCACUUGAGUCAAGUCUCAAGAUUCUGAGCCGAGCAAAGUCUCUGAGCCGGCGGCCGAGUCGAGUCGCGGGCCUCGGAGCUCAGAGUCUCAAGUCUUUUAGCCAUGAAUCGGAUUGUAAGCUGAAGAACACUGCUAUAUAAUUUCUAAUAUAUCUAAAAUAUCUGUAGAUAUCUUCAACACUGCAGUGCUUUUUCUUUCUGGUUUUUAUGAUUCACUGCCGUGAGCUGCACACAGAUGGCAUGACGCAGAACAGUGCUAUUCUUUUCCUUUGUAAUUUUGGCAGUCCUUUUAUUUAUUUAUUAGACAUUUAUUAGCCACACCCAGGGCCGCUGUGACUCAGGUGGUAGAGCGGGUCGUCCACUGAUCGUAGGGUCGGCGGUUCGAUUCCCGGCCCACGUGACUCCACAUGCCGAAGUGUCCUUGGGCGAGACGCCGAACCCCAAGUUGCUCCCGAUGGCGAGUUAGCGCCUUGCGUGGCAGCUCUGCUACCAUUGGGUGUGAGUGGGUGAAUGAGACACAGUGUAAAGCGCUUUGGGUAAAAGCGCUAUAGAAGUGCGCCAUUUACCAUUUGUUCAUGUUUUUAUCAAGGCUGAAAUUUCAGAAGUCUCCAUCCCGAGUCUGAGUCAAGUCCCAAGUCAGUCUUGAGUUGAAUCACAAGUGAAGUCUAAGUUGAGUAAGAGAUUCUCAACAUGCGACCCAAGUGGGACGCGCCUCGACAAAAAAACCUGAGUCUAUGGGUUUGAUAUGGGUUUGAAAAGGUUGUCCAGGCAGCUACUUGUUAUCGUGAGUAGCAUUUCAGCUAGCCAGUGUCAUUAAAGUGCUGGCUAUAGCCACUAUACUCCUCAGGAACGUUUUGUGACCUAAUUCAGUGCCGUAAUGUUUCUCAUAAGGUGAUAACGUCUCUUCCGAUCACUCGCUCCUACAUGCUUCAGGUAUUCAUUAUGUAUUUGCUGUGUUGCACUAUUGGGUGGUCUCAAGCCCUUGGUCAAUUUGUGUUAAAGGCAAAUAUGCAGCAGCGUUUCAUUUCAGUUUGCCGUCGCGGAGAUUUAUCUAGUUCGAGUCGUUUAUCUGAUUUUCAGCGUCCCUGUGGACACAUGAUGGAGCCUGGUGAUGGCAGCGGUGCUGCUUCUGCAGAGCACACUGACAGCUAGAGCAGGAGGGAGAGCGAAAGGAGUAAGAGGAGGCUUUAUCACAGCAGUACAUCCAAAGCAGUACAUCACAUGCGCACAUCCAUCCGCGUCCCUCUUUCAUUCUUUCCCUCCCUCUCGCCGGGUUCAUGCAGGUUCCCUCACAUCAUUCACUUCCGAGCUCUCGCUAUCUGAUGUAGAUGCUGAAUUAGUCUGAGCGUUAAAGGAUCACCUUCGUCAGUGAUCUGCUCCAGACUUCAAAGGUCACUGAGGGGUGCGUGUGUGUUUAUCUUCUGCUGCACUUGGAUUGGGUUUUUAUCUUUUUAACCUUUUGAAGACAAAGAGGACUUGUUUAUUAUCUUAAGAGCAUCUGGAUUUGGGCUGGGGCCGGCUGAUGGAAAUAUAAACAAGGCAUCUCCACUCGUCUGGGGGACACGGACACACACACACGCACGGAUGUUGAUUAUAGCUUGUGGCUACUGUUUUGGAGCGAGGAGCAGAGAAGUGGUGUGCGGACUUGGCAAGCUCUCACGUGUCCUAAUUCUUCUCUCUCGCUCUCGCUCUUUCUCACUGCGGUGAACUUCAGCCCGAUGACGCUGCUUGUCCUCUGACGCAUCAUGGCUGCGAGUUGGGCGUCCUGCUGACCUCGCCUCGCCACACCGUCCGCUGACACCCUGCUGACUAAGACCACACCAUGUCCAAUCUGACUUGCGGCUCCGCUUGCGUCCUAAAGGCUUUACUGCUUUAAGUGGAGUUUGUUGAUGUAAUUUAGUUUGAGAGGAAGGGACAUGGCAGUAGCCCAGACACUCGGAGGAGAAACGUUUCAUUUUUGCGUCCAGCUAGAAGUGUUUUUUCUUUAUUCGUGAUUACCCAGUGGAUGAGCAUGUAGGUUCAGCAAGCAGAGAAAGAUAAUACACAGUGUGAACGUUUAAUGUAACACGCCCGACAGCGUGACGCACCUCCAUGCUGUAACUGUAGUAUGUGCUUCUGAAUCUCACCGCGUGCCGAAUACACACAGCUGCGAGUAGAAAGAUUUUUAUUAUGCAGAUUAUAUAGAGUGCAUGGAUGACUUUUCCAAAUCAGGAACACGCAGGUGUGCGUAGACACUGACGAAUCUGCGCCGAAUAAAGUCCGGUGUAAAGCGAAUAUAUAUAUAUAUGAUCUCCUGCUGGCGUAAGACUCGCAGUCACGUUAUGUCUACUUGGGGUGCAAAGAGAGAAUGCCAAAGCUCAUCACCGAAACAUCCAUCAAUGACUUGGUGGCUUUUAGUUGAGGUCGUCAUAUGUGGAAGGUCAUAUAAAGCAAAAAAUCCCUUAGGUAAGUAAUCAUUUGAGAGCUACAAUGACAAGCUACUUACAUUUGUAGUCAAAAGUUGGCUGACGGUUCGUCCUCCUUUUUAUUUAUUUAUUUAUUUAUUUUUCUUUUCGUGCUGAGAGGCUUCAGGAAACAGGGCAUCACUUCCAGUAAGGGAACGUAGUGAGCAUCGAUGCUCCCUGGUUUUUUGCAAUGCAUUGUGGGAUUUUUUUUCAGGGAGUGGACGUUCAAGAAAGAUUUUGCAGUUGAGACGGCGCUUAAAAUGGCUGACUCCCUGGUCAGUGCCUGACUACUGAACUAGUGGAGCUGAUUGAGGCACGGGGUUAGCGUGCUGGGACACGGGGUUAGUUGUGCUGGACACGGGGUUAGCGUGCUGAGACACGGGGUUAGCGUGCUG